UCUGUUUAUGUUCCAGUGUAUUUUCCCCUGUGUACCUGCCUGCUUUUCUGCCUGUGUGUCUAUCCACCUGCUUCUUGUCAACCUGUCUGUCUAAUUCAAAUGCCUGCUAGUGGAAGAAAGUACAAUGUAAAGUAAAUUAACGGCUUUAAGUACACAUUUGACCUGACUAUCCAUUCUUGGCAGCUCAGAAUCUCCCAUCCUCUCAGACAGCCUGCAUUAAUUCAAGAUGAAGUGAGGAGUAGCGAUGGAGAUUUCCCCCGUGGCGAGAUGGUGAUGGUUAUGAUUAAACACCAGAGAGACAGUGGGCUGGAAGAGGAAAAACACAGGAGAGGAGUACAGGAGGAAAAAUGGAAGGGUUAUGUUGGAGAAGAAGGGAGAAAAUGGGAGGGUAAAACAUGAGAAGUUAGAAGAUGUAGGUUGACGUGAGAACAUCGCCCAGACCAAAGGGGUUUUGGCGAGGAGAAGAGGAGAUUAACAUGGGGGUUUGGGUAAAUAAAAAGGUGGAAAAGAGGGGAGAUAUAGAAAGGAGAUGAAAUGGGACGGAUGACUCAUACCACUUUCUCAACUGUGCAAAAUGUAGCAAUGUGGGACCCUGGGUAAAGCUAAGUGUUAAAAUUUAAAGUAACCCUGCCACUUUGGUUCAGACUGAAAUAUCU